CCUUCCAGCCUCCCUCCCUCCCCGGUCGGGAGGCGUUGCUAACUAAGCAGCCAGCCAAAAGCAGAGGGGACCACCUUGCAGUAAUUUGUCCUGAGAGCAUCACCUGUAUAUACUGCAAUGCCAAGCCAGAUUCCAGCACCAUUGGGCCCAGUGGGUCUAAAGCUAAAAGUUUCGUGGGGUUUUUAACACUUUUCCUUGGGACCACUCAGAAGCCUCCCAUUUCAAAUGGAUUGCAAUGUUUUUCUAGCCAAGUACCGAGGAAUACGAGAUUUUCGGAUAUACUGUUCUGUAAUAAAACUGUUAGCAGAAUUUAAGAUCCUGUUUUACCUGCAACACAUGCCGUAGAAGACCCCCCACCCACACUGUUUGCUUUAACACUAUCAGUAUCAUUAGUGUUACUGAUAAAUUCUCCCUCAAAGUUUCAAAAACUACAUUCUUGUGCAAUUUUAAUAAAAACACAAAGUAAUUAUGCCAGUCUUUUAUAUGUGCUCUAGAACUUUUCGUCCUUUCUAAUGUGUUAGGGCUGUUCUUCACAAUUUAGCAGUCUUGCUUAAGAAGUCCCUCAGUGCCAACUUUUCUGUGAAUUACUCUGAUAAGUACAAUGAGAAGCUAUUGCAAUGAAAACAUUAUCCAAUAAAGAGAACUGCGCAGGAAAGAGUUAAGUUUCAUUCAUUCAAAAGUGCCCUUUCAUAAGUCUAAGAGGCUUUGGCUUGUGGGAGUAGGAUCUCUAAGGCUUUGUUGGAGGGUUUGGGGUGCGUGGCUUACUUUUCAGGACUUGUCAGGUGUUGUGCAAAUAAAUAGGAAAAUCUGGGCCCUACUUGGUACUCAAGACAGUCCAUCCAUUAUUACUUAGAAAACGUUUUUUUCCUGCGUUAAAGCUUCAUUAUCGUUUCCCUCUUAAUGAAGUGACUGGGGAUGGGGGUGAGUAGGCGCAGUACAGGGUGGGAGGAGGUCGUGGGGAGAGAAUGGAGAGGAGUGUUCCUGGCUUCUGUUGUGGAGUCUUUUCUAUUUGACUUCAUGGUUGUAAGUAUUUCCAGAUGGUGAAUCAGACACCAGACGUAACAAUAUUUCCAUAUUUGGGUAUAGCAGUAGCCUGCGUUUUUAACAUUUUUCUGCCUCUGUUAUCCAACCACAAAGCAUUCUUGACAGCUUCAAAUGUUGUUAAAUAUAGACUUAACUUCUGUUCCCAGAGCAGGAAAUUCUUUGGAAUUCCUUGUUUUUCACGCAAUCUGUCUAUCAUGAUUUAAAAUAAAAUUACAAUGGAUGAUCCAACUGGCCAGUGUAUAUACCUUGCUUGCUCCUUUAUUGAGGGGGACGGGAGAUAUGCAAAGAGAUUCAGUCUGCCGCACAGCUUUGAAACACAGGCCAUUCCAGAGAUUCCUUUAAAAAUCAGAUUAAAGUUUUCUAACAAGGGUGUGUGGGUUUGUGUCUGGGCUUCAGUUGGGGAAUCUUGGAGGAUGAGUUUGCCCUGGAGGAGAAACUUAGAGAACCUUACCAUCAGCCGCCCAUUUAAAGCUGCGAUAAACGACGGCAUCGGACCAGAGGAACAGCAGCUCCUCAUGUCUGGCUUCAGGACGGUCCAGAAACCCCAGACGUCCCGUCGCCUUCUCGCCUUCUUCGCUCAGGGCUGCAGAUCAGUUCACGUUGACAUAUUAGAGGAAAAUGUGCAAAUGUUUAUGGGUGCUCUCGCCCGCACACCCAGGCUCACAACUUACACCUGUUACAGCCACUUGAAUGAACAGGACAAUUUGUGGUGACGACGAAAGGCCGGCUUUAAGGUGGCGCCGCCGGGCCAUCCCUUCCACCCCGCCGCGAUCCCCCACCCCCACCCUGGGGAGUGAUGGCAGGGAGCGCCACAGUAAUGACAGAAGCAAACAGUACCACUCUAAGUCAGGCACCGUUCUGAAUGACUCCUGUAUGUUGACUCAUUUAACUCACCAGUGCCCCAUUGAAGCAGAUCUUCUUGUUAACACCAUUUUCUCUCUAAAGAAAUGGAGGCACAGAAGGAGUGGGACUGGUUGCCAGGAGAAUCAACCUUGUGAUUGGAGGCUUGGAACUUUCAAUCCCACCCAACCUCUGGGGAGGGGGAAGCCUGGAGGUUGAAGCAGUCGCCAGCUGUCAGUGAUUUAAUCAAUCAUGGCUAUUUAAUGAAGCCUCCAUAAAAUCCAAAGAGGAGAGGGUUCAGAGAGCUUCUGGCUUGGUGAACACUUGGGUGUCUGGAAGAGUGCACACCAGGAGAGGACGUGGAAGUUCCUCGCCCUGUACUCAUACCUUGCCCUACCCAUCUCUUCCGUCUGGCUGUUCUGGAAUUAUAUCCUUUUAUAGUAAACCUGUAAUCUAGUAAGUAAAAUGUAUCUUGAGUUCUGUGAGCCACUCUAGCAUAUUAAUGGAACCCGAGGAGGAGGUUGUGGGAACCUCUGAUUUAGAGCCCAUUGGUCGGAAGUGCAGAUAACAAUCUGGACUUGUGUUUCGCAUCUGAAGUCCAAGGUGGGGGCCAAGGGAACUUCCAAUCUAUAACUGGUUGGUCAGAAGCACAGGUAACCUGGGCUUGCAACUGACUUCUGAAGUGGUGGGGGAUGGAGGGAGGGCAGUGUUGUAGGACUGAGCUCUUACUCUGCGGAAUCUGAUGCUGUCUCUGGGUAGAUAGUGUAUGAAUUGAGUCAAAUUGUAGGACACCCAGCUGGCCAAGAAUUGCUUGACAGCAUUGGGGGAAACCCCUCCACCCACACACAUGGUGAAAUUGGUGAUCUAGAACAUUUUAUGGGAGAAGCAGCAAGUGCGGAAGCAAAGCUGAUAUGUUUGAUUUGAGAUCCCUUGAGCCCAGCUCCAGAUGGAGAUGUCCAGGGAGCAUUUAGAAAUUUGUAAUUUCAUUUUGGAAAACAGAGACUAAAGAUGUCCUUUUAGAAUCAUAUUCAUUCAGGUGAUGGUUGAAUCCAUGGAGGCAGAUAAGAUUUGUAAGGAAGGGAAUAUACAAGGAAAAGAGAAGAAAAUUAAAGAAUGGAGACUUUAAACAGGAACUAGAGAAAGAAGAAUUUGAGCAUUUGGAGAAGAACUGGAACAGGACCAUGAACCCGAAUCCAAAGAGAAACAGUGCUAAGCAUGAGCACACAUUCACAGACAAAUUGUUGUGGGCUGAGGCUCCUGGAACAUGUUGCUACAAUGAGAGUAAGGUGGGCAGUACUGUUUUCCUGUAGCACGUAUAAGAUACACAUUUCCAUCUUCUUUGUUUCCAUAUUUGUUAAUCACUUUCCUGGGUCGUUUACCAGAAGGCCUCCUGACUUUGGAAUCUGUGGCAGAAUUUUCAGCUGCCAGCUCUAAAACAAAGAAACCCACCUAGACAAAUCCUGUAAGAUGUCAUCAUCUAAAAAUACCCCUUAGUGGGUUAUUGAGAGCAGGAAAUGAAGCACAGAUAGCAAGUUCACACUGACUUGUUGAAGUCACUAUGGAGCGUUUACAAGGAUCCCACAGAUGACUAAAAUUAGUUUAUUCUGCACAGCAUUAUCCACUGCUGACUCAAGAUGGUGAUACAAGCAGUGUUAAGCUGUGAGCUCACCAGGAAGCUCAUUCCCUAAAAUUAUUCUCUGGCUGGGAAAGACCCCUAGGUCACAUCAGUGGUUGGAAGAUGGGACAUUAAUAGCAACUUGUUCUGCCGUCACUCAGAAACUGUGUUUUCCUGUUGUCUCCCAUUCUCUGUUUCUUGCAGAUGUAGAAGCCUCCUGAUCAGCCUGUUGUCUCUCCGUGCUCAAGGUUUCACCUAUACAAAACAGGAGCUCUGGUAGCCUCUACUGAGACUUUUCGGUAGAAAAUGCUUUGAAAAAGAAAAGAAAAGAAAAGAGAGAAGCAGCUAUUUUCAAGACUGACUUUCUAAAAUUAUAUUUAGGAUUAAGCGGCUGUAACAUUGCCAUUCGUCGCCGAGGCUCCUGGUUUCAGCACGUCUCCUUGGUUCCCAGCCAGUCCUGGGUGUUCAGAAGCUCUUCUACCAGCAAAGAAAGAGGAUUUCUUCCCAUUUGGCUCCAGCCUGGAAACAAUCCCAAGAAUGACUUGUAUUGGAUCAAUGGAGGUUGCAUACUCCCUCCCAAACUGCACACCAAGCCAGGAAGAUGGGGUAAUAUGAUCGGUCCAAUCAAGAGUCCAAACACCUUAUCAUUAAGUGAGGACACAGUGAGAAGGUGGCCAUCUGCAAGCCAGGGAGACAGCUCUCACCAGAACCCAACCAUACUGCCACUCUGACCUCAGAUUUCCAGUCUCCAGAACUGUGAGAAAAUAAACUUCUGUCGUUUAAGCCGCAUAAUCUAUGGGGUUUUCUUAUGGUUGCCCAAGUUUAUUAAUACAAUCUCCAAGAUUUAUUUGUAGGUAGGGAAAAAAGGGUGCCAAAAGAGUGUACUGUUGGGAUGAAAAAAAAGAAAAGAGUCUAUACUUGUACUGGUUUGUAUAUCCAUUCUAAACGUCCUAGGAAUAAAUGAGAAACUAAUAAUGUUGUUUACUUUUUUGUGGGGCUAUAAGAACUUGACAGAGGACGGGGUGGAAAGGAACCUUUGCUGUAUAUCCUUCUCUGUCUUUUGAUGUUUGAGCUAUGUGUAUGUGCCACCACUUCAGAAAACUAAAUAAAUAAAAUUCAUUUAAAAAUAAUAAUAAAACCACUUGGAAAAACAAUAUUAUAUUGAAAUAAGGAAAAUAUGGAUUAUAUUGAAAGAAAAUUAUUGAUUAGCAGAAUAAUUAUGGCAGAGAUUGACGUUUGAAGAUGAAGGAAUAUGAGCAGUUAUAUUAAAUUGCUUUCUUGGGCCAUUAUUUAACAAUUGCUGUGAUCAUGUAGACAGUUCUGUCUACUGCCCUUUCCUGGGAUCUGCGUUGCUGACAACAACAGAGCUUGAAGUACCCCAUGUAACAUGCGUUUGAUUGAAAGAUGUUGGCCAUGGGUUCCCGAGUACUCUCUUGGUCGUCUGUCUGGGAGUAAAGCCUUCCUCAGCUUCCCUCAAUUGGUGGUCCAGUAUUCAAGGACAACUCCUGAGAGAAGGACCAAGCCAUUCAUUUGAAAGAGGCCAGUGUCUCUUCUGUGGACAAAGAUGUAACAUCUCUCACAACUUACCUUGGCCAAUUAAACAUCCAGUUGUUCUAGAGACAUUACAUCAUGCUCCUCCCAAGUGUUGUCCUUAAAUAUAAUAAUGUAAUUCUGGUCAUUUCUUUGCUUUUAACUUCCAUCAAAGAUUUCUUCUCCAUUGGUCAUCUGGCCUAUCUCUUUAUCCCCAUUGACUGUUUUUUAAGUAAACUCUAUGCCCAACAUGAAGCUUGAACUCAUGACCAUGAGAUUGAGUCACAUGCUUUACUUCCUGAGCCAGCCAGGCACCUCCCCCCUACAUUGACUCAUUUUGAGCUGUUCUGCCAUGACCCCAAAGUACCUUUAUUUCUGUCCCCACACCUUCAUAAAUGUCGUUUCCAUUGCCUGGACUACCCUUCUAUUUGUUUCUGUUGAUGAAGUUCCCUAAAUGGAGUUGACUGUUUUUCUUGACAUCACCCUAAAUUUUUGAACAGCAAUAAUAUUCUCUAUGUGCUUUUUACUUCUUGUCAGAUUCAAGAAGUUUGGGGGCCAUAGCAUAUUCAUUUUGCAUCCCCAAUGCUGGCAUCCAGUAGGCAUGUGAUGGUUGAAUGAAUGAAUAAAUAUACACUCUGGCCGAAAUGUUAAAGACAAAAAUGUCAUAGUAGCCUAUAAUAAAAUCCUAACCAAUGCUUAGGGAAAAUGCCUCACAGGAGGAUUCUAACUCUCUGCACUGUGAUUGUGUUAUUCAGGUCCUGAUUGACUUAUAAGAGCUGAAUUCUGUCAGGACCAUUUUUCCAUUAGCCUUUUGCAGGGGGUUGGGGGACUUUCAAUUGUGUGGAUAUUUUGUGCAUGUUUUGAAAACUCAGCUGGGCAUCCCCCUACUAAGGCAUCUCUUUGAGGAUUUCCUCUGUUUAAGAGCAUUUUAUUUCUAACAUUUUAAAGUAUAGAUGGCAGCUCUCAUUCCAGUGGAUUUUCAUCCUUAUCUCCAGAAAACCAUAUUUUGUAUGCUUUGUGGCAAAGUAAGUUAUGCAUCUAUAGAAGUCACCCCGUGGAAGUGAGCCUUUGGGUAGAAGGCUCAGCUCCACAUUUGCUUGCCAGAGAGUAAGAGUGACAGCAAGGUGAUUUCUGUCACUUUGCAGUAGGUAUCUUUCUCAUAUAACUUUCUCAAAGAUGCUCUUUU